AACGGUCUAUACCUGCGGUACCUGCGGAAGGAUCAUUACCGAGUUUUCAACUCCCAAACCCCAUGUGAACUUAUACCAUUUACACCGUUGCUUCGGCGGGUUCUCGCCCCGGGCUUUACAACCCCGGAACCAGGCGGCCCGCCGGGGGACCCAAACUCUAGAUUUUAUUUUAGCAUGUCUGAGUGGAAUCAUUACAAAAUGAAUCAAAACUUUCAACAACGGAUCUCUAGAUCGGAAGAG
rnacentral:misc_RNA from 1 species